GGCGAACGCUGGCGGCGUGCUUAACACAUGCAAGUCGAGCGGAAAGGCCCUUCGGGGUACUCGAGCGGCGAACGGGUGAGUAACACGUGAGUAACCUGCCCCAGACUUUGGGAUAACCCUCGGAAACGGGGGCUAAUACCGGAUACGACACAGCUUCGCAUGGGGUCUGUGUGGAAAGUUUUUCGGUUUGGGAUGGGCUCGCGGCCUAUCAGCUUGUUGGUGGGGUGAUGGCCUACCAAGGCGACGACGGGUAGCCGGCCUGAGAGGGCGACCGGCCACACUGGGACUGAGAAACGGCCCAGACUCCUACGGGAGGCAGCAGUGGGGAAUAUUGCACAAUGGGCGGAAGCCUGAUGCAGCGACGCCGCGUGAGGGAUGACGGCCUUCGGGUUGUAAACCUCUUUCAGCAGGGACGAAGCGUAAGUGACGGUACCUGCAGAAGAAGCGCCGGCCAACUACGUG
rnacentral:rRNA from 1 species